CUUUCACUUUCACUUAGAGCAAGAUGGCAGCCCGCGUCCCUGUGUGAAGCCGUCUGCAGCAGCUGCCAGAGCCCUGCUUGCUGUUUCCUUUCUCACCACCCACCUCACCCGGAAAUCCCCUGGUGAUUUCAAGACCUGACCUCUGCACCCUUUUGCUCCCCACCUGUCCCAAAAAAGUGGAGCUAUAACUGUGGGAAAAGGGGAUCUGAAGUCAGACACAGGAUCCACAGUAGCCUGGGGACCUUUCUCACCCCCGCCCUUAAGCAGGCCCCAACAUAACCGGCUGAGAAACCUCCUCUGCCAGAUCCUGACCUGAGCCAGGAGGCGGCCAGGAAACUGGAUUUUGGGACUGGGAUUUCAGAGAGGAAGCUGGAGAGCUGCAGGUCUCGAAAAGGCACUCUGUCACGUGUACACAGGAAAGGGCCCUGACAAGAGGAUGGGACUGCAGUUGUGGCUGCCAGAGUCUUGCUUUGUCGCCCAGGUUGGAGUGCAGUGGCACGAUCUCGGCUCAGUGCAACCUCCGCCUCCUGAGUUCAAGUGAUUCUCCUGCCUCAGCCUCCCUAGUAGCUGGGAUUACAGGACAAGGAGAGGGACAAAUUCCUUCUUGGCAUCCUUAUGGCCCUGUGACCUGCUAAUGAAUGCUGACUCUGAGUUGCUACUAGAAUUUGGUUUCCUUGUGGCUUCCCAGGAAUUGUGAGCCAUGUUGGAUAAGGACCUGCAAGGGAAGAAUGAGGAAGCCUGGGACAGUGCAGGAGGGGAGAGCACUGGUGGUAGAGAGGAGUGAUGACAAGGGUCUCCGCCAAAAGGGAAAUGGAGGGGUUAAAGAAGCUGCUGGGGAGGGUUAAAAACAAUGUGUUCUCACUCGUAGGUGGGAAUUGAACAAUGAGAACACUUGGACACAGGAAGGGGAACAUCACACACUGGGGCCUGUCGUGGGGUGUGGGGAGGGAGGAGGGAUAGCAUUAGGAGAUAUACCUAAUGUAAAUGAUGAGUUAAUGGGUGCAGCACACCAACAUGGCACAUGUAUACCUAUGUAACAAACCUGCACAUUGUGUACAUGUACCCUAGAACUUAAAGUAUAAUUAAAAAACAAAACAAAACAAAACAAAAACAAUGAGGUGCUAUUGUUUUAGUGGUGAGUAUCCGGAGACCUGGGGGUCUCACUCUGCUCACUCUGUCUCCCAAGCUGGAGUGCAGUGGUACAGUCACGGCUCACUGCAGCCUCCACUUCCUGGACUCAAGUGAUCUUCUCACUUCAGCCUUCUGAGUAGCUGGGACUACAGCCCCCUCUGCAGCUCUUCAUGGGGGUCCACUCAAGUCAGAAGCCACAUUUGGGUGUGAUUCAGAGAGCUGUUUAUGCAAAACCAGCUUUGUCACCAUCAGGCAAGGCACCUGAAUUCCCACCGCAGAGAGUGUUGUGGCCGUGAGGACUUUUCUGUCACCAGCCAUUUCCAGGUAGACCCAGUGUAAUCACAAGCAUCCUUGUAAGUGGCAAAGAGGCAGAGGAGACAGCGCCAGAGAGGCAGCUGCAUGAGAAGGAUCAAGAUGUUGCUGACUUUGAAGUUGGAAGAAGAAGGCCAUGAGCCUCAGUAUGUGGGCGGCUUCUAGAAGCUGGAAGGGGCAAGGAGAUGGAUUUGACCCUUCAGCCUCCAGGGGCAGCUGUACCUGCCAUCACUGAUUGUAGCCUGGUGAGGCCUGUUUUAGACUUCUGACCUGUAGAGCUGUAACAUAAUACAUUUGGGUUGUUUUCAACCACUAAGUUUGUGGUAAUUUGUUGUAGCAGCUGUAGAAAAUGAAUACAUAUGAAUCCUCUGGCAUUUGUUUGAGAUUUGCUCUAUGGCCUAGUAUGUGGUUGUAAAUGUUCCAUCUGUGCCUGAAAAAAUGUAUAUUUCUAAUUCAGUAGUCUCUGCUUUUUUUUUUUAUUUUGUACCCCAUCAAUAAAAUGAUUUUCAGCAUGUAUCCCCAAAUAAACAAUAUUUUAUUUAUUGAUUGAUUGAUAAACAGACAUGUUUAAUGAUAGCUUGCUUUUCACAGAGGUGACUUCGGAGACUUCUAAUCUAUAAUCCAGGAGUAUAUAACCAUG
rnacentral:lncRNA from 10 species